CCCAGCGCAGGGUCAGGGAGGGGCUGGGCAGUCCCUGGAUGGAAACACAUUUGCAUGAGCAGCCCCUCCUGUGCAGAGGGUGGGGAGAAAAGGGGGCCUGAGGCAGCCCAGCCCCACUGUAGGGACCAGGGCUGUGUCCACCAUGGCCUGGGCUGCUGUCCUCCUCAUGAUCCUCUCUCACUGCUCAGGUUCCCUCUCCCAGCCUGUGCUGACUCAGCAGCCCUCCCUCUCUGCAUCCCUGGGAGCAUCAGCCAGACUCACCUGCGCCCUGAGAAGUGGCAUCAAUGUUGGUAGCUACAGGAUAUACUGGCACCAGCAGAAGCCAGGGAGCCCUCCCCGGUACCUCCUGUCCUACUACUCAGACUCAGACAAGCACCAGGGCUCCAAUGCAGGGAUCCUGCACAUCUCUGGGCUGCAGGCUGAGGAUGAGGCUGACUAUUACUGUGAAUGGGCAGCUUGCCUGAAGCUCUUCCUGGUCACUGGCAGUCACUUCGAGUGGAGCAGGGUCAGCAGCCCAGCGUGGCAGUGA